ACUUGGGCCUUGAGCUCUUCGAUUUCCUCUGCAUGGUUAGUAUCAACGCAAGUACUAGAGGAAGUGUAAGCUUCAAUGUUAGAGCAACAAGGCAAGGAAAGUAAUUCAUCACACGAGGUAGCAACAUUAUGAGUAGAUGAAUUACGAGGACUAGCACAUGGAAAUAUAGUACUUUGACUAGAAGUAGUGCCAUUGUCCACAUGAGGCUCACUUGAUGUUACCUUGGUGAUGAUAGCCUCAUGAGCUAACUUUUGCACAUUAUUGGAUGUUAGAAGAUUGGCAUGAGAGCUUGUGAGCAUUACAUGGUUUUCUACCAACUUCCCAUAAUUGCUAGUUAGUAAAUCAAUUUGAGCACGUAGCUCAACAUUCUCCUUCAAUGUUGAUACUUCAAAUGAGGUAGAGUUAUGUCACGCCCAAGAUGCGACCCUAUCCUCAAUUUGGCACGAAGGCCUCGUCAGGGAUAGCAGCGCAUCUCGUCGUGUCGCAAGAAUGGAUAUCGUUACAAGUACAUGUACUGAAAAAGAAGAGAUAUAUAUACAGAGUUGGCUUACGCUCGCCACAAAC
rnacentral:lncRNA from 1 species